GCCCUAAUAGCUCAACGGUAGAGCAUGUCACUGUUAAUGAUGAGAUAGGUGUUCAAUUCACCUUUGGGGCU